GAUGAAGAACGCAGCGAAAUGCGAUAAGUAAUGUGAAUUGCAGAAUUCAGUGAAUCAUCGAAUCUUUGAACGCACAUUGCGCCCGCUAGUAUUCUGGCGGGCAUGCCCGUCCGAGCGUCAUUUCAACCCUCAAGCCCCCGGGCUUGGUGUUGGGGAUCGGCGAGCCUCCGCGCCCGCCGUCCCCUAAAUCUAGUGGCGGUCUCGCUGUAGCUUCCUCUGCGUAGUAGCACACCUCGCACUGGGAAACAGCGCGGCCACGCCGUUAAACCCCCAACUUCUGAACGUUUGACCUCGGAUCAGGUAGGAAUACCCGCUGAACUUAAGCAUAUCAAUAAGCGGAGGA
rnacentral:misc_RNA from 1 species